GAGACGAUUAAUUGCACAGUAAAAAAUUCCGUCGUGAAAGUAAAUGGUGUGCCUUUGAUGUUGCUGCAGCUGCUUCAGUCAGAAAUUUUAUGGAUGUGCCCUGAACAGAAAACAUUCACCAAUGCAAAUAAGUGCAUGACGACGUUGAGGAAGUUCCAAUUCUGCGACGGCAGACUUUUUGACUCAACUGGUCGGGGCGUGUACUUUUUCUCAACCGUCUAAUUCAGUUUAAAAUUGGUUUUAUUUGAAGAAAUAAAAU